CCCUUAGAUGUUCUGGGCCGCACGCGUGCUACACUGAGUGGAUCAGCGGGUCAGGUUGCGCGAAAGCGUUUCCUAAUCUUUAAAUCCGCUCGUGAUGGGGAUUGACGGUUGCAAUUUUCUGUCAUGAACGAGGAAUACCUUGUAAGCGCGGGUCAUCAUCCCGCGCUGAAUACGUCCCUGCCCUUUGUACACACCGCCCGUCGCUCCUACCGAUUGAGUGGUCCGGUGAGGCUUUGGGAUCUGAGCGGAAAGAGCGUUUCGCUUUUUCUGCUCGGAAAACUCAGUCGAACCUUAUCAUUUAGAGGAAGGAGAAGUCGUAACA
rnacentral:rRNA from 1 species